rnacentral:rRNA from 1 species
UACAGAGGUCUCAAGCGUUGUUCGGAUUCAUUGGGCGUAAAGCGUGCGUAGGCGGCUCAGUAAGUCGGGUGUGAAACCCUCAGGCUCAACCUGGGGACGCCACUCGAUACUGCUGUGGCUAGAGUCCAGUAGGGGAGUGUGGAAUUCCCGGUGUAGCGGUGAAAUGCGCAGAUAUCGGGAGGAACACCAGCGGCGAAGGCGGCACUCUGGGCUGGUACUGACGCUGAGGAGCGAAAGCGUGGGGAGCAAACAGG